rnacentral:rRNA from 1 species
UACGAAGGGGGCUAGCGUUGCUCGGAAUCACUGGGCGUAAAGGGUGCGUAGGCGGGUCUUUAAGUCAGGGGUGAAAUCCUGGAGCUCAACUCCAGAACUGCCUUUGAUACUGAGGAUCUUGAGUUCGGGAGAGGUGAGUGGAACUGCGAGUGUAGAGGUGAAAUUCGUAGAUAUUCGCAAGAACACCAGUGGCGAAGGCGGCUCACUGGCCCGAUACUGGCGCUGAGGCACGAAAGCCAGGGGAGCAAACGGG